UCCUAUCGUCACUCCACAGAGAGGUGGAGAGAGAGAGAGAAACAGCGAAGGUGGUACUGUUUGAAUUUCGGUGCAUGCAAUUCUGGGUGAAAACUGAAAACAGAAUACCGAGUUCACUGAUGGUGGUAUUUUGUUAUCUGUAGAGGACUGAAAUCGGAGAGGAGGAAGGGAGAAUUUAUCAAGGCCAAGAAAGGUGGUUGUUUGUGAAUUUUGCAGAAUGGAAUAGCAGAGAAGAAUUGGUGGGGGAGAGUUUGGGUUGGGUUUUCGUUGGGAUCGACAAUGGUUAGUAGUAAACUACAAAGGGAGGGCAUAUGCUCAAAGAGUUGAGCCAAAGCUUGCUUUGGUUGAGGUACAGCUGCCAAAUGAGGCAUUCCUAGAGAAUUGGGAACCUACUAAAAGCUCUUAUCUAGAUAUGCCUGCAAUUUGCUUCGACAAGGAAUGAAACAAAUAAUAAUGAACUCAGAAACCCAUGAAGCUAAAGCGUUGGAGAAGGUGGAGGAUAAGUAAUGAGAACUCUGAAGCAUUGGCUUUUAUCAUUGAUGAGAGUUCACUCGCUUACACUAUAGAGGCAUAAGCGAUGGAGGAGGUUUCUGAGAAUCUUAAGAAACAAUUGAACAAGUUAGUGCUAGAUGAUGAAAUUAAACAUCUCCUGUAAAAGAUAUUGUAAACAUAGACACAGCAAGGUGCUCUGAUAGGGGAAAUUGAAGCAAAUGAGAAGCAUAGAUAUCAACUCCAACUUGAGGAGGCCAUUAGUAACAAUGGCAACAAAACUUGCGCAUUCUUAGCCAACACAGGCUAUUGGGUUAAUGGGUAAUGCUGAGCUUCAAUUCAAAAUGGGAAUGAGGGAUAAAGUCAUUAACAACCAACGGAAGGCGGUGAGAAACAUAUGAGACUUGCUGAUGAUUAGUUACUACCGUACAAUCAUGCACCUCUGCGAAGUUUAGAAAAGCCAGAGUAAUGUAGGUGAAAGUGCGGGGAUUUUUUUGUUAGAUUAAGGAAACAUAUAUACUUGAGCUACAAAGGAGGUAACUCUCUCAGUUUAUUUGUAAGGUAUAUGAUUAAUUAGGCACUGCUAUUUUGAUUCACGUCAACUUGAAAGUGAAUGAAUCCAUAUUGGUAAUAUAAUUAGAUAAUGAAUACCUUGCUGGAUAAAGUUUUUAAGCUUA